rnacentral:rRNA from 1 species
UAAGACAGAGGUGCCAAGCGUUAGGCGGAAUCACUGGGCUUAAAGCGUGUGUAGGCGGAAUUGUAAGUACCUUGUGAAAUCCCACGGCUCAACCGUGGAACUGCUCGGUAUACUGCUUUUCUUGAGCCACUUAGGGGCUGUCGGAACAAACGGUGGAGCGGUGAAAUGCGUAGAUAUCGUUUGGAACGCCAAAGGUGAAAACAGACAGCUGGGAGUGUGCUGACGCUGAGACACGAAAGCCAGGGGAGCGAACGGGAUUAGAUACCCCGGUAGUCCUGGCCCUAAACGAUGUCGACUAGAUCGUGGUGGCUCUGACGCCAUCACGGUCGAAGCAAAAGUGCUAAGUCGACCGCCUGGGAAGUACGGUCGCAAGGCUA